rnacentral:misc_RNA from 1 species
CAGAACUCUUCUAUUCGAUAUUUAUUUCUUAUUAAAAACCUAUGAGCAGUAGCUAAGCAAAGGAGAACUCGGUCAAGCGCUUUUGUCGAUAUCCAGUAGUCAAACUCCAAGACAAGACGGAAGAUAGAGUGAAUCCUCUUCAAAACAAAGCCCCACCUGCCGAUACCAGAGCCUGAGCUGGUAAACUCGUAUAAAUAAAGAACUUCACAUUGGG